rnacentral:rRNA from 1 species
UACGUAGGGUGCAAGCGUUGUCCGGAAUUAUUGGGCGUAAAGGGCUCGUAGGCGGUCCAUCGCGUCGGGAGUGAAAAGCUGGGGCUUAACCCCAGUCCUGCUUCCGAUACGGGUGGACUAGAGGUAGGCAGGGGAGAACGGAAUUCCUGGUGUAGCGGUGAAAUGCGCAGAUAUCAGGAGGAACACCGGUGGCGAAGGCGGCAUCCUGGACCGACACUGACGCUGAGGAGCGAAAGCCAGGGGAGCAAACGGG